UACGGAGGGUGCGAGCGUUGUCCGGAAUUAUUGGGCGUAAAGAGCUCGUAGGCGGUUUGUCGCGUCUGCUGUGAAAACUCGGGGCUUAACCCCGGGCCUGCAGUGGGUACGGGCAGACUAGAGCGCGGUAGGGGAGACUGGAAUUCCUGGUGUAGCGGUGAAAUGCGCAGAUAUCAGGAGGAACACCGGUGGCGAAGGCGCCACUCUGGGCCGAAACUGACGCUGAGGAGCGAAAGCAUGGGUAGCAAACAGG
rnacentral:rRNA from 1 species